rnacentral:rRNA from 1 species
CAGUCGCCACGGGAACACGGAGGGUGCAAGCGUUAAUCGGAAUUACUGGGCGUAAAGCGCACGCAGGCGGUCUGACAAGUCAGAUGUGAAAUCCCCGGGCUUAACCUGGGAACUGCAUUUGAAACUGUCAGGCUGGAGUCUUGUAGAGGGGGGUGGAAUUCCAGGUGUAGCGGUGAAAUGCGUAGAGAUCUGGAGGAAUACCGGUGGCGAAGGCGGCCCCCUGGACAAAGACUGACGCUCAGGUGCGAAAGCGUGGGGAGCAAACAGGAUUAGAACCCCAGUAGUCCCUGUCUCUUAUACA